rnacentral:rRNA from 1 species
GACGAACGCUGGCGGCGUGCUUAACACAUGCCAGUCGAACGGAAAGGCCCUGCUUUUGUGGGGUGCUCGAGUGGCGAACGGGUGAGUAACACGUGAGUAACCUGCCCUUGACUUUGGGAUAACUUCAGGAAACUGGGGCUAAUACCGGAUAGGAGCUCCUGCUGCAUGGUGGGGGUUGGAAAGUUUCGGCGGUUGGGGAUGGACUCGCGGCUUAUCAGCUUGUUGGUGGAGUAGUGGCUUACCAAGGCUUUGACGGGUAGCCGGCCUGAGAGGGUGACCAGCCACAUUGGGACUGAGAUACGACCCAGACUCCUACGGGAGGCAGCAGUGGGGAAUAUUGCACAAUGGGCGGCAGCCUGAUGCAGCAACGCCGCGUGCGGGAUGACGGCCUUCGGGUUGUAAACCGCUUUCGCCUGUGACGAAGCGUGAGUGACGGUAAUGUGUAAAGAAGCACCGGCUAACUACGUG